UUUCCCUUUCCCUUUCCCUUUCAUUAAAAAAUAAACAUUAAAAACAUUAAUCGAGCUUUCCCUUUCGCUUUCACUUUCAUUUGCUGAAGAUCGAGCUUUCCCUUUCCCUUUCCCUUUCCCUUUCUUUUGCUAACGAUCGAGCUUUUCCUUCAAGUCACGCUUCCCUUUCCUUCUCCGAGCUGAAGAACUCACAAUUUCUCUUCUCUGAGCUGAACAUUGAACUGAAGAUUGAGCUGAAGAUCGAGCUGCAGAACUCACCGAGCUGACCGAGCUUUCUCUUCUCCGAGCUAAAGAUUUCGUCAAGGUAAGAGUUGAAGAUUUCAUCAAGCUUCAUAAUAUUGAAUGAAUUUUUGUUUUUUGUUUACAAGGAAUUGAUUGGGGUUGUUGGCAAGAUGAACUGAAGUUAAGUCUCUCUGUCACACUUUUCUCUCAGACUUCUCGUUGCGGAACUUGAUUUCAGACAGAUUUAGGGUUUAUCGGAAGUAUAAUCAACACUGAGAAACAUUUUUGGAGGAUUCAAGGUUUGAUUUGGCAUAGAACAAGAGUCAUGACUAGGAAUUCAAAUAUCCCAUCGAAAGAUUGGAUGAAUUUAGCAAGGUAUAGCGAACCAUAUAUGGAUGGUGUUGAAUCAUUCCUUGAUUUUGCUUACUCUUAUGGAAAUCCUCACGGAGAGGAAAUUCAGUGUCCAUGUGCGAAAUGUUGUAAUGUCCGUUGGACUCGAAGGAAUGUAGUGUAUGAUCAUCUAAUAUGCUAUGGAUUUGUUAAA